rnacentral:lncRNA from 1 species
CUUAACAGCUUUCUAAUCAUGAUGGCUCUAGUUGUAAUAUUCCAUAUAGGCAAAUCUUGAUAACAAAGGUUCCACCUCGCAUUUUGUUUUUUUUGCAUGGGAAGCUAGUAGGGGUUGUAUUCUUACUAUUGACAAACUCCAAAGAAGAGGAAAAAUUCUGAUGAAUGCUUGCUACCUAUGCAAGCAGGCGGAGGAAAAUUGUAAUCAUCUGCUUCUAUGGUG